AUGAACGCUGGCGGCGUGCCUAACACAUGCAAGUCGAGCUGGAAACAUUUGACAAGUAGAGAUAUUUGAAGAAAGUUUCUAGCGGCGGACGGGUGAGUAACACGUGAGGAACCUGCCUUACACAGAGGAAUAACAACGUGAAAACGUUGCUAAUACCUCAUAACACCGCACUAUGGCAUCAUAGAGCGGUCAAAGGAGCAAUCCGGUGUAAGAUGGCCUCGCGCCCGAUUAGUUAGUUGGAGGGGUAAUGGCCCACCAAGACUACGAUCGGUAGCCGGACUGAGAGGUCGAACGGCCACAUUGGAACUGAGAAACGGUCCAGACUCCUACGGGAGGCAGCAGUGGGGAAUAUUGGGCAAUGGGCGAAAGCCUGACCCAGCAACGCCGCGUGAAGGAAGAAGGCCUUCGGGUUGUAAACUUCUUUGAUCAGGGAAGAAACAAAUGACGGUACCUGAAAAACAAGCCACGGCUAACUACGU
rnacentral:rRNA from 1 species